UCAAAGAUGUGCCGGUUCAAUCUCUGUAAGGGCAUGUAUUCAUAAAAUUAAGUUGCGUGUGUAUAUGUAAGCAUUGGCGUCUGUAUUUUUUUUAAAAAAGCAAACCACAGUAAUAACCACCAACAUGGAGAGCAAGACUCUUCAAACCUCACCAUUGCACUUUAACAGACCUAACAAACUCCAUUUACACAACACGUUCCAUCGCCGCCACCACUUUCGUUGGCAUCUUUCUUCCAGAGAGAAGGCUAUGCAUGUGGCGUCACUAGCUUUAAAAGCUUUGUCGAUCUUUUGAUCCUUUACCUGCGAUACAAGAAUACACACUUUUUGUCUAAUUAAUCCCCCACACUCUCCCUGCUGCUGUUGUAACACGUACCAGACUCUCCCUAUAUGUGCAGGCCAAGACCUGUCCACCUUCACACACACC
rnacentral:lncRNA from 1 species